CCUACGGGGGGCAGCAGUGGGGGAUAUUGCACAAUGGGGGGAACCCUGAUGUAGCGACGCCGCGUGGGUGAAGAAGCGCCUCGGCGCGUAAAGCCCUGUCAGCAGGGAAGAAAAUGACGGUGCCUGAAGAAAAAGCACCGGCUAACUACGUGACAGCAGCCGCUGUAAUACGUAGGGAGCAAGGGUGGUACGGAAUUACUGGGCGGAAAGGGCGAGUAGGUGGGCGCUUAAGUCAGGUGUGAAAACUCCGGGCUCAACCUGGAGACUGGGCUUGAAACUGGGUGUCUUGAGGGCAGGAGUUGGAGAGAAGUAGGCGGAAUGCGCGGUGUAGCGGUGAAAUGCUUAGAUAUCGCGCAGAACCCCGAUUGCGAAGGCAGCGUACCGG
rnacentral:rRNA from 1 species